CCUACGGGUGGCAGCAGUGAGGAAUAUUGGUCAAUGGCCGGAAGGCUGAACCAGCCAUGCCGCGUGACGGUCAGUGCCCUAUGGGCGUUAAACUUCUUUUGUGCGGGAGCAAUAAUGGUCACGUGUGGCCAGACGAGAGUACCGUACGACUAAGCAUCGGCUAACUCCGUGCCAGCAGCCGCGGUACUAGGGGGGCUGCAAGCGUUAUGCGGAUUUAUUGGGUUGAAAGGGUGGGUAGGCUGUUAGGUAAGUCAGCGGUGAAAUGCACCCGCUCAAAGGGGUUAAGUGACAUUGAUAGUGCCCUGCUGGAAUGCGGAUGCCGUGGGAGGAAUUUGUGGUGUAGCGGUGAAAUGCAUAGAUAGCACACAGAACACCGAUUGCGAAGGCAUCUCACGAAUCCGCGAUUGACGCUGAUGCACGAAAGCGUGGGUAUCAAACAGGAUUAGAUACCCCGGUAGUC
rnacentral:rRNA from 1 species